rnacentral:tRNA from 1 species
GCCGGGGUGGCGGAAUUGGCAGACGCUGGGGACUUAAAAUCCCCUGGCCUUCGGGCCAUGCGGGUUCGAGUCCCGCCCCCGGCA